rnacentral:rRNA from 1 species
UAAGACGAAGGUGGCGACCGUUGUUCGGAAUUACUGGGCAUAAAGCGCACGUAGGCGGCAAUGUAAGUCAGGUGUGAAAUCCCCCGGCCCAACCGGGGAAUUGCGCUUGAUACUGUGUUGCUUGAGGGCAGGAGGGGACCGUGGAAUUCCUGGUGGAGCGGUGAAAUGCGUUGAUAUCAGGAGGAACACCGGCGGCGAAGGCGACGGUCUGGCCUGCUUCUGACGCUGAGGUGCGAAAGCCAGGGGAGCAAACGGGAUUAGAUACCCCGGUAGUCCUGGCCGUAAACGAUGGGCACUAGGUAGGGGGGUUCCCAAUGCCUCCCUGCUGGAGAUAAUUCGUUAAGUGCCCCGCCUGGGGAGUAUAGUCGCAAGGCUG